CAUAAUCGUUAAGCUGAUUGGAAAAACUUCAAAAUGGGAUUUUCAAUCAUCCGACUGCUAUUGGCUGCACUCUUUUUGGUGUUUAUUGGGGCUGUUUGUGGAACUCUAUCAGACGAGGCGUCAUUGGUUAAAAGAAGUUUUCAAAACCGGCUUUUAGAGAAUCUUGUUCUCUCAGAUCUUCAGAGCAUUGAAAAACCCCAAAUCAGUGG